GACGAACCGAGCGAACGUUAUUCGGAAUCACUGGGCGUAAAGGGUGCGUAGGCGGUUCUUUAAGUCAGAGGUGAAAUCCUGGAGCUCAACUCCAGAACUGCCUUUGAUACUGAAGAUCUUGAGGUCGGGAGAGGUGAGUGGAACUGCGAGUGUAGAGGUGAAAUUCGUAGAUAUUCGCAAGAACACCAGUGGCGAAGGCGGCUCACUGGCCCGAUACUGACGCUGAGGCACGAAAGCGUGGGGAGCAAACAGG
rnacentral:rRNA from 1 species